rnacentral:rRNA from 1 species
UACGUAGGGGGCAAGCGUUGUCCGGAAUUACUGGGCGUAAAGCGCGUGUAGGCGGGACGGUUAGUCGGACGUGAAAGGCUGGGGCCCAACCCCAGAUCGCCGUUCGAAACUGCCGUUCUUGAGGGUCGAAGAGGAGAGUGGAAUUCCUGGUGUAGCGGUGAAAUGCGUAGAGAUCAGGAGGAACACCCAUGGCGAAGGCAGCUCUCUGGUCGACAUCUGACGCUGAGACGCGAAAGCGUGGGGAGCGAACGGG